rnacentral:rRNA from 1 species
CCCUUAGAUGUUCUGGGCCGCACACGCGCUACACUGAAGGAGGCAGCGUGUACUCCUGGAUCGAAAGAUUUGGGUAACCCGCGAAUCUCCUUCGUGCUAGGGAUUGAGGUUUGCAAUUAUCCUUCAUGAACGAGGAAUUCCCAGUAAGUGCAAGUCAUAAGCUUGCGCUGACUACGUCCCUUCCCUUUGUACACACCGCCCGUCGCUACUACCGAUUGAAUGAUUUAGUGAGGACUUCGGACUGGGACCGAUGCGGCUUUCGGGCUGCGUCGGUAUUCUGGAAAGAUGUCCAAACUGUAUCAUUUAGAGGAAGUAAAAGUCGUANCA